UACAGAGACCUCAAGCGUUAUCCGGAAUCAUUGGGCGUAAAGCGUACCGAUAGGUGGUUGUAUAAGUCAGAAGUGACACCUCCGAGCUCAACUCGGAAUCUGUCUUUUGAAACUAUACAACUAGAGGGGCAAAGAGGAAGCUGGAACGAACGGUGUAGUAGUGAAAUGCGUUGAUAUCGUGCGGAACACCAAUAGCGUAGGCAGGCUUCUGGGUGCCACAUGACACUGCUAGGACGAAAGCGUGGGGAGCGAAUGGG
rnacentral:rRNA from 1 species